rnacentral:rRNA from 1 species
UACGAAGGGGGCUAGCGUUGUUCGGAAUCACUGGGCGUAAAGGGCGCGUAGGCGGCCGUUCAAGUCGGGGGUGAAAGCCUGUGGCUCAACCACAGAAUUGCCUCGAUACUGGACGGCUCGAGACCGGAAGAGGUCAGUGGAACUGCGAGUGUAGAGGUGAAAUUCGUAGAUAUUCGCAAGAACACCAGUGGCGAAGGCGGCUCACUGGCCCGAUACUGACGCUGAGGCACGAAAGCGUGGGGAGCAAACAGGG